rnacentral:rRNA from 1 species
UAGGUGAACCUGCGGAGGGAUCAUUACUGAGUGUGGGCUCCGGCCCUACCUCCAACCCCAUGUCGAAACGACUCUGUUGCCUCGGGGGCGACCCGGCCUUCGGGCGUCGGGGCCCCCGGUGGACACCUUCAUAACUCUUGCAUCUCUUGCGUCUGAGUGAUACAUAUAAUCAAUCAAAACUUUCAACAACGGAUCUCUUGGUUCUGGCAUCGAUGAAGAACGCAGCGAAAUGCGAUAAGUAAUGUGAAUUGCAGAAUUCAGUGAAUCAUCGAAUCUUUGAACGCACAUUGCGCCCCCUGGCAUUCCGGGGGGCAUGCCUGUUCGAGCGUCAUUACACCACUCAAGCCUGGCUUGGUAUUGAGCGCCGCGGCCUGCCCGCGCGCUCCAAUGUCUCCGGCUGAGCCGUCCGUCUCUAAGCGUUGUGAAUAGCGAUCGCUUGCGAGGCCCGGGCGGUUCGACGCCGUUAAACCCCCCAUUUUCUAUGGUUGACCUCGGAUCAGGUAGGGAUACCCGCUGAACUUAAGCAUAUCAAUAAGC